rnacentral:rRNA from 1 species
UACGGGGGGGGCAAGCGUUGUUCGGAAUUACUGGGCGUAAAGCGUGCGCAGGCGGUUCGGAAAGAAAGAUGUGAAAUCCCAGGGCUUAACCUUGGAACUGCAUUUUUAACUGCCGGGCUAGAGUAUGUCAGAGGGGGGUAGAAUUCCACGUGUAGCAGUGAAAUGCGUAGAGAUGUGGAGGAAUACCGAUGGCGAAGGCAGCCCCCUGGGAUAAUACUGACGCUCAUGCACGAAAGCGUGGGGAGCAAACAGG